AGUGAACGCUGGCGGUAGGCCUAACGCAUGCAAGUCGAACGGCAGCACAGUAAGAGCUUGCUCUUACGGGUGGCGAGUGGCGGACGGGUGAGGAAUACAUCGGAAUCUACUUUUUCUUGGGGGAUAACGUAGGGAAACUUACGCUAAUACCGCAUACGACCUACGGGUGAAAGCAGGGGAUCUUCGGACCUUGCGCGAUUGAAUGAGCCGAUGUCGGAUUAGCUAGUUGGCGGGGUAAAGGCCCACCAAGGCGACGAUCCGUAGCUGGUCUGAGAGGAUGAUCAGCCACACUGGAACUGAGACACGGUCCAGACUCCUACGGGAGGCAGCAGUGGGGAAUAUUGGACAAUGGGCGCAAGCCUGAUCCAGCCAUACCGCGUGGGUGAAGAAGGCCUUCGGGUUGUAAAGCCCUUUUGUUGGGAAAGAAAAGCAGCAGGUUAAUACCCCGCUGUUCUGACGGUACCCAAAGAAUAAGCACCGGCUAACUUCGUG
rnacentral:rRNA from 1 species